rnacentral:rRNA from 1 species
GAUGAACGCUGGCGGCGUGCUUAACACAUGCAAGUCGAACGAAGCACUUUAAUCGAUUUCUUCGGAUUGAAAUUUUAGUGACUGAGUGGCGGACGGGUGAGUAACGCGUGGGUAACCUGCCUCACACAGGGGGAUAACAGUUGGAAACGGCUGCUAAUACCGCAUAAGCGCACAGUACCGCAUGGUACAGUGUGAAAAACUCCGGUGGUGUGAGAUGGACCCGCGUCUGAUUAGCUAGUUGGCAGGGCAACGGCCUACCAAGGCGACGAUCAGUAGCCGACCUGAGAGGGUGACCGGCCACAUUGGGACUGAGACACGGCCCAAACGUCCUACGGGAGGCAGCAGUGGGAAUAGUU